rnacentral:rRNA from 1 species
GGACCCGCACAAGUAGUGGAGCAUGUGGUUUAAUUCGAAGAUACGCGCAGAACCUUACCAACACUUGACAUGUUCGUCGCGACUUUAAGAGAUUAAAGUUUUCGGUUCGGCCGGACGAAACACAGGUGCUGCAUGGCUGUCGUCAGCUCGUGUCGUGAGAUGUUGGGUUAAGUCCCGCAACGAGCGCAACCCUCACUUUUAGUUGCCAUCAUUAAGUUGGGCACUCUGAAAGAACUGCCAGUGAUAAGCUGGAGGAAGGUGGGGAUGACGUCAAGUCCUCAUGGCCCUUACGUGUUGGGCUACACACGUGCUACAAUGGUAUCUACAACAGGAAGCAAGACUGCGAAGUUAAGCAAAUCCCUAAAAGAUACCUCAGUUCGGAUUGCAGGCUGCAACUCGCCUGCAUGAAGCUGGAAUCGCUAGUAA